rnacentral:SRP_RNA from 2 species
GCCGGGCAUGGUGGCGUGUGCCUGUAGUCCCAGCUACUUGGGGGGCUGAGGUGGGAGGAUUGCUUGAGCCUGGGAGACUGAGGCUGAAGUGAGACUUGUUUGCACUACUACACUCCAGCCUAGGCAACAGAGUGAGACCCUGUCUCAA